GCCUGGCUGGCUCAGUCGGAAGAAUAUGCGACUCUUGAUCCCAGGGUCGUGAGUUCGAGCCUCACGUUGGGUG